GCCUACAAAAAGACGCCAUUGCUAUUUCUCUCUAUAGUAAUGUUGUAUUAACUAGUCUCUCUAUGUCCCUGUUCUGUGUGUGUAUGAACCAGUGAUUAUUCACUCUCCCCCUGCGAUGUCAGCUGACCAGGGGAUGAGCCAAGCCACCCAACCUCGCUACCCCGAGACCGUCUGGAGGCUUUCCUCUCCUCUGAGGACCCAGCGAGGGUGGAGCACAGUCUGAGAGCUGUUGAGGGAGAACACUUCUACAGCCAGAGAGGGGCAGUCAAGAAAUGGAACGGCAAGGCCACAGAACAUGUCAUACGCAGAGC